UGAUAUUGCAUGUUGUGAAAAACUUGCAUAAUGGUAAGGGAUUUUAUUUCUGCAGGUUGUCAAAGCAUCCAUUGUACCAAAAUUUGAAAAAGUUGAAAAAGAAAUGAAAUUUGGAAAUAGAAAACUGAAAAUAGUUUUCCACAGGGCCUUGACUUUCAGUUUCAAACAGACCCUAUUUUCACAUAGAUGCCUACCUUAAUUGCAAGAAUAUCAACUAAAGUGCCAAUACAUAAUUUAAGAAAAGACCACAAAGCUGCGGUCAUAGCCUUUGUCAAUGGUAGCAGAGGCUUUCAAAUAAACCUAUGUAAUUCCAAGAAUUACUGUACAAGACUAGUGUUUACCUUUCAUCAACUUCUACAUUAACCUCAGGAACUACCUCUAGUAUUGAUGGUAGCAUUGAAAAACUAGAGGACUGCCCAAACUGAAAUGGAUAGGGAGGCUUCUUAACAGGUAUUUCAUUCUCAAGCACGAAUACAACCUGGUUCAUUGAAGGUCUUAUUUCAGGAUUAUAAUGAGAGCACCAUAAUGCAACCGUAGCUAAUAACUUUGCUCUCCCUCUUUCUUUCUCUGUGAUCUCACAGUCCUUUAUAAGUUGGUCUAGCUGUCCAUUAUUAAACUUCUGCCCAAACUUGUUCUGGAAACCAGUUUUCGCAUUCUCCAUUGCUUCUCCUCCCUAAAAUUUCAAACAACAUCAUGCCAAAGCUGUAAACAUCACAUUUGUAAGUUACGCGUGAUCCCGGCAACCAAGUCUCUGGGGCAUUAUAACCUUGAGUGCCUCUGGUUCUGGUCAAGGGAAGUUUCGAGAUAUCCCGUUUCAUAAGCUUUGAUAAUCCAAAAUCCGUAAUUCUAGGCGAAAAAUUCUUGUCAAGGAGCACAUUACCAGCCUUUAUGUCAUAGUGAAUUAUCCGUUCAUCCCCACCAUCGUGCAAAUAAAGAAGCCCCCUUGCAGUCUGCACUGCAAUGCUAUAGAAUGUCUCCCAGUCUAUACCACUACCGUGGUUCUCGUACAAAAUCGUAUCCAAAGAACCGUUCUCCAUAUAUUCAUAAACAAGUGCUUUCAUGUUCUGCUCAAAGCAAUACCCAUAGAGUUUCACUAAGUUCCGAUGGUAAGCCUUUCCCAUUGUGCUGAUUUCGGCCAUGAAGAUCUCUUCAACAACAUCUUUAGUCACCAGUACUUUAACAGCUACUUGCAAACCACCAGGAAAUUGGCCUUGGUAGACAUCUCCAUACGCGCCAGAGCCUAUUUUACUAGAUUCCGAGAAAUGUGAUGUAAACUUUUCAAGAUCCCAAUGAGAGUAUCGCUUUGGACCCAAUUCACUUAAGAACUUUUCAACCAAGUCUGAGCUAGUGGCUUCUUCCAGUGUACUAGGAUUCAUCAUAUUUAUGAGGUUGCUACAAGUCUCCCAGUUCACGAGUGUGUACAAGUCGCAAGAAUCCCUGUCAGGCAUUACAGAUCCAAUGUACAGUCCUGCCGCCAUCGGUUCACCCACCCUCCACAAACACGCAAAAUUUCCACUUUGGACAUGGCGAAAUCUGACAUUAGUGGAUUGGUCUUCCUCUAAUUUAAACAGUGUACAAUAGAUUUUGGAUUUGUCUUCCUCUGGAUGCUUAGCCCCAGCAACGAUCCAACCAUUGCCCUCUUGGCCACUGAGAUUCCUGACCAUGUAUCUGUUGUUGAAACAACUUUUUAUGUGCAUCAGUCCCUUAUCUUUAUUCUCAGUGCUGUUUGCCAUUUCCAAUGCAAACUUUGCAGUUGGGCUCAUAUCCUCAUCCCCAUCAAAUUUCAUAUACCCUUCCGGUACACUCUUAUUAUUAAGAUCUGUUAAGCUCAGAUACUUAUUGUUGUAAACUGAUUUUACUACCACAAACCUUGCCAUUAAUUUCUCUAUAGAAAUAAAAUUGACAACUUUAACUCUAGGUAAACCACAGGACAGAAGAGAUGGAAAUCUUGAGUUUACCUUAAUUUCUAAAUGAAAUCGUGGUAGAGGUGACUGGAGAAUGAAGAUCAGAUCACAAACCAGACCGCAAAGAAGAAGAAGAAGAAGAUAGAUGAUGGAAAAUAGAAUAGAAUAGAAUUAGAUGAUAUCGGUUGAAGUUUUUCACUUUAAUCAGUUAUUAAUGGUGGAGAUCGAAGGUACUUUCAAGUUUCAACAACUUUCAACUUGUUUGUUUCUUUAAAAAUAUAAAAAAAAUAAUAUCAGCUGUGUCACACACUGAAUUCAAGCCCCACAUCUUUAAAUAAUUGAAAUUUGAAAGACAACCAAUCAACAGACAUCAAUAGUCAAAAGUUUAAAGGAAGACAGCUCACACUGAAAUUUUGUCUCCUCGAACGGAAAAUAAUAAAUAAUUUGAAGGAGCCUUCCGUCUAACUUCCAUCCAAUAAUUGAACCUUCUUGAGUAUUUGAUUUGACAUAGGUCCAUGUUUUAAAUGUGUUUUCUGAGAUGGAAAAAAUACAUUAAAUGAGUUGUUCAAGUUCAACAACUUUAAUUUAAUAAAUAUAUUUUUAAACAAAUUUGUGAAACCCAAUGUUUUUUUUUCUUCCAAAAUAUUUUUAUAUAACUUUUAUUUUUUAUAAUUUUUUUUUCUUUAAAACAUAUAGUUUUUUUUUAAAAAUUUAUACUCUUCUUUCAUCUUAAACUCCACUUUUUUUAUUUUCUAGUUUUAAGGAAUCAAGAUGAAUAAAAUACUAUUAACUUGAUAAAAAAAAAUAACACAAAACUAAAUAAUUGAGGAAUUAAAGAUAGUUUAAUGGGUUGUUUAUCUAUUAAACAUAUUUUAUUUUUAUUUUUAUAAUUUAAAAAUUCAAGAAGUUAAAUUUUGAGUGUCGGAAUGAUUACAAAACAACUGGUAGCUCAGUUGGUCUGGUACUCCUCUCACACGAGUGAGAGGUUGUGAGGUCAAUUCCCACCCAGAGUUCUUGGAAAAAUUUCUCGUCAAAGCCCUCGGUCAUGGUUCGUGAUUAGAAGGCCUAUACUCCCAUGAUGUCAUGAUGUGCUUGUUUGUUGUCAUUCAGCAAAAGCAAGUCCCUGUGUAGCUAUGCCCAGCUGGCAACUUUGAAUGAUGUCAUGAUGUGGUUGUUUGUUGUCAUUCAGCGAAAGCAAGUCCCUGUGUAGCUAUGCCCAGCUGGCAACUACUUCAAAGUAUUAUAUCUGUUGAAUUUUGAAGUAGUUGUCAGGUUGUGGAAAAUUUUUCUGUUGUCAUUCAGCGAAACCCAAUACUUUUUUUGUGAAACCCAAUACUUCAAUUUAAUAAUAGUGUCCCUCAGAAGGCAGAUCAACACUAUGCCCAGCUGAUGUUUUGAUAAAUAGUUCGUUAGAAGAGAAACAUGCAUGUGUUGACAUCAUAUCACAGGGGCAUCUCCGAUGGUGGGGUUUGGUAAUGAAAAUUUCGAAGUGGGUCAGACAGUCACUCAUGCAGGUGCAACUAAGGUACAAAAACACGAGAGGACAUGUGCAACGAACCAGCAUUGUUUCAUUCUUUUUUCUUUUGACACUUUUGGGUUUUUAACACCAGAAGCAGUUGAACUUCUCAGGAGGAUAGAAAAAGUGAUGAGUAACAAUGUGAUGACCGCGGGUUCGAAUGAAUAUGCAUUUCGUCGGAUUGGUUUUGAUAUUCAAAAAGGGCUUGUAGCGCAGUUUGUAGUGCGCUUGUCCUCUAACUUUGUGUAAUUCCUCCAAUCUUUAUCAAUAAAAUUUGUUCCGGAUUUUUAAAAAAAAAAAAAAAAAAGUGUUGGAUUGAUUGUUCAAUGGAUUUCUAGUAUUUUUCUUACUGGAUCACUAAUUUUAAAAAUUCGAUUGAGGAAAGUGUAUUAAUUUGAAAAUAAGAUCAGAGGAUUAGUGUUUACUUUAUUCAUUUUUAUUUUCUUUUGUCUUAAAUCUAUGGGUUCUGCAUCAGUUAUUUACUAAUUCUUUUAUAGUAAAUAUGUGGGUCAUGUAUUAAUUAUUAAAAGUCCAAGAGAAAAAAAUAUAUGGUGAAAAAGAGGGUUCUAUCGAACCGUUGAUGGAGGUGGGUUCCUUCAAAAUAAUUAGAAAAAGAAUAAAAUAAAAUUAUAAUGGGAAUAUAUAAAAAUAAAAAUAAUACUAACCCAUGCAUUUUUAUUUUUUUUUUAUAAGUAAAAAUUUAUUAAUUAUGAGAAAGAAUUACAGCACAACAACAACCCAAAACUGGAUUGAGAUAUGUUCCAGAUGAAGCUAAUAAAAACAACUGAUUAUCCUAGUGUGCCAGAAAUAAUCUCCUCCCAAUUGAAUAACAGGUCCUGAAACCUGUGAUGUUUUCUUUCCUCCCAAGCCCCAAGUCAGUACCAAAUUGUAGCCUUUAUCUCCUUACAAGAUCCCUGGAUGCUCUGCACCUCUUGACGAAAAAUUAUGUGAUUUCUCUUCUUCCACAGUGUCCAUAUAACUGCAUAUGGCAAAAGCUUACAAAAUAACCCAUGCAUAGCACGGGCUAAGACACUAACAUACAAAAUAAAAUAAAAACAACAAUUGCAGCCAACACUGACAUCCAAUUCUUCCUUACUAUCUGCUUUUUCAUUUUUUGGAUGGGUUAGCCCCCAGUCUUACAAUAAAUAAUCCUAUGCUUAAGAAUAUACGUCGAAUACCAAAAGGAGUUAUUCAUGUUCAAGAUAUGAUAUAUUUAAAACAAGAGAUAUUGAUAAUAAAAUUGUAUGUUGCAGCAGUAUAUAAUUUUAUUAUUGUAAGAUUUAAUUUGACAAUGGUCAAAUAGUAAUGAAAGCUAGUAAUAGAGCAAAUCGUUACAGUAGGUGAAAUAAAUGACAGUUGAUACUCAGAUGAUUUCAAAUGUCCAGAGCAUAAAGGUUAUGCUUGUACUGUAAGUUUAUUUGAGUUGCUUUCAAAUUACAGUAGGGAACCUAUGAUGUGUGCUUCUAGGAUUUUUUUUUUGUUGUGACUCACCUGUACAUGGAUUGUUUUUUUUUAUAAAUAAAAAUUUAUUGAUAAAAGAAAAGUAACAAGAUUACAACCUGAUCAAUUAACACAUUAAGUGUAAAUUAGAUCAAAACACUUAAAAACUCGACUAACAUGAAACAACAUAUUCUCAAGAAAAUCAAACUAAUCAUAAACCCAAGGCACACUUACCCAGGGUUGCAAUUCUUUGCAUCCAACAUCUUUUUAAAAAGUUUUUCUUGCCCUUCUAUACUCAUGCCAGUCAAACCCAUUUUCUUAGCCAAAGGGACCACAACAUAUUUCACUAAAUUUUCAUGUCCACAAUUUCACCUCCUAUCAAGCGAUUAGCAAUUUUCGACAUUUUAGCCGAAUGAUGUUGUUGCUCAGUCAAACUAACCUGGAGGGCAAUCGCUUUUCAAGAGUGAGUUGUGUAUGAUUUUUCUUCUUCUUUGUCUUCUUCAAAACACUCCCAUUAGCUUCCUUUUUGUGGAGAAUCAUAUUUUCGGUUACACUUUCAUCAUUCUUGUCUCCACUGUAGGUUCUAUUCUUUCUAGCCUUCUCCAUUAAUUCAUUACUCAAAUGAUCAGCAAUUCCAUCAUCUAGUAUCACUGUAGGGGUACUAUAUACAACAUACAUGUGGCACCAUCUCUACCGUCCAUCAUGGUGCCACAUGUCAACAUCUAAUGGGCUCUCUCUUGAUGGCACAAGUUACAAAGUUAAGCCUUAUUAUUACAAAGAUAUUUUCCCCAUUAUUACCCUAUUAAUUGCUAAGAAUGGAGUUACAUUGUAGCCUAUAAAUAUAAAGGCAAACUACUCAUCUUCUCAUGGUCUCAUUGUGAAUCAUACACAAGACCUCAACACUCUCUCAUGACACCUCACCUCUCAGGUCUCAUCUCUCUCUUGAGCUCUCUCCAUUAUCGAGCUCCCAUUUUGUAUCACCACUACUAUAAUAAAGUUCAUUCUCUCUCUCCGUGGAUGUAGGCACAAUUGCCGAACCACGUAUACAAUGGUGUUCACGUCUCUACUUUAUUAUUGUUCAUAUCAUACACAUCAUCAUCUUUCAUUAAUGUAUUGACCAACCUCACAAAUAUGGUUAAUACAUUUGGCGCCGACUACAGGGACUUGGGAUUUUCUCAAGCGAAUUCCACCCACCAACCCCACCGAACACCAUUGUUCUAAGGUUCUCAGAUGGUGAUUUUCAAGAAAUUCAUUGAAUUUGAAAAGAUAGAAUUGCAACUCACAGUUGGGGGCUUGGAGCAAAUUGUUUACACAAUUACUGGACUCGACAGAAGCAAGAUAAGUAUCACUUUAAUAUUUUUUGGUGAUUGAAAUGAGGCACCGAGCUAUCAAGGAGCGACCUCAUCAUCUACUGUUUAUUCUACACAGUUUCACAUAUAUUUAUCUGGUGGUAUAUUUUCAUGUACAAAUAUCAGUUUACAUUCUCAUUAUAUUGAUAUGUUUAAUUAUCAAUUCAACAUGUGGCCAUGGUUCAACAACUUAUUUCAGAUCCAUUUGCCAUGCCACAUCAAUUCUCGUGAUUAUUUACAAAAAACCAUGGAAUGGAUUCAGUUACUGAUUCACAUUUUUUACCUUGGUCAUAUGGUCUUUCAAGUUCAGGUCUCUUAUUGUGACCUCGACAGGUCUACCAACGACCUCUCAGGUCUCGUCGCGACCUCACCAGGUCCUUCAUACCAGGUCUUUCAUGCCAGGUCCUUCAUACCAGGUCUUUCAUGCCAGGUCCUUCAUACUAGGUCCUUCAUGCCAGGUCCUUCAUACCAGGUCUUUCAUGCCAGGUCCUUCAUACCAGGUUCUUCAUGCCAGGUCCUUCAUACCAGGUCCUUCAUGCCAGGUCCUUCAUACCAGGUCCUUCAUACCAGGUCCUUCAUACCAGGUCCUUCAUACCAGGUCCUUCAUGCCAGGUCCUUCAUACCAGGUCCUUCAUGCCAGGUCCUUCAUGCCAGGUUCUUCAUACCAGGUCCUUCAUCGCGACCUCACCAGGUCUAUCAACGACCUCCUCAAAUUACAGGUCUUUCAACGACCUCAAGAAUAUUUAUGCCAUACAGGGGGCUAUUCUCACUUUAUCUAAUGAAAUUAACUUAUUAUUAGCACAAUUAGCUAUUAAUGAUAUUUUUUGUAGCUCUCUCUAUGUGCAUGUCACAUGAACACGACCUCACUCCCCAUGAGCUAUUUUUGCACAAAUGUGCCACAUUGCUUUCACUGAACUCUUUACAAGUGAAAUGCUUGAUAUACAAUACGGCCACCCUCAUUGACUAGUGAGUCACUCGUAUGCGGGACGACCUCAAACAAAAUUCUCUAGCCACACGCCUGGUCGAACGCAUUCACUCUCAACGCAAUGCAGACCCACAAAGGCCACAUGCCCGAGAAUUGUCAAACAGGUCUCCACGCUGCGACCAUUCACUAGAUCGGGAACCAAAAGGUUCCAAGUAACUCUCAAAACACUUGGUCAACCAAUGCUCUUUCUCAAACGAGCUACAUGUGCACUCCAAAGUGCCACAUCUAUUGGAAUGUCCAAUCACAAGGCGACAAAGAUAGUACAUAAAAAACUCAUAAGGAAGACAUACAGUUCAGUGUAAGUCUCUUACUAAAUUUUAUAAUAUUUCACAUGCUAACAUUAUCAACAAGUAUCAGGUCUAUGCAACUCGACCACAAAAAGACAACCACCCAUGUAUGCAAGAAGACCCACUUCAGUACGACCUGCUUGCAGCUGUACAUCUCGUCUACUUGCCUUCUGAACGAGCUACCAGGUCUCCCUGGAACUAACUAGCUCGCUAUACACAAAUUCAUGAUCGAGUUGCCAUUACCACAAGGGACCUUCAUCGCGUCCUGCAAAUCUCAAUGAUCAAGCUCAUCAAAAUUUGGGGCGGAUCGACUUCGUUAAAGAACCCCAUAUUUCAUUCAUCUUGGGGGCUGGAUCGGUUCGAUUACUUCUUUUCAGCCCGAACUCCGUUCAACCUAAAAAGAGGGGGCUUAUGUAGGGGUACUAUAUACAACAUACAUGUGGCACCAUCUCUACCGUCCAUCAUGGUGCCACAUGUCAACAUCUAAUGGGCUCUCUCUUGAUGGCACAAGUUACAAAGUUAAGCCUUAUUAUUACAAAGAUAUUUUCCCCAUUAUUACCCUAUUAAUUGCUAAGAAUGGAGUUACAUUGUAGCCUAUAAAUAUAAAGGCAAACUACUCAUCUUCUCAUGGUCUCAUUGUGAAUCAUACACAAGACCUCAACACUCUCUCAUGAGACCUCACCUCUCAGGUCUCAUCUCUCUCUUGAGCUCUCUCCAUUAUCGAGCUCCCAUUUUGUAUCACCACUACUAUAAUAAAGUUCAUUCUCUCUCUCCGUGGAUGUAGGCACAAUUGCCGAACCACGUAUACAAUGGUGUUCACGUCUCUACUUUAUUAUUGUUCAUAUCAUACACAUCAUCAUCUUUCAUUAAUGUAUUGACCAACCUCACAAAUAUGGUUAAUACAAUCACUAUCUCUGAGUUUAUUUGAGUUGCUUUCAAAUUACAGUAGGAAUCCUAUGAUGUGUGCUUCUGGGAUUUUUUUUUGUUGCGACUCACCUGUACAUGGAUUGUUAUCGGAAAGCCAGUACAGUAUUACCAAACCUAUUAUACAUCCAGGUACAUAUCGGACCGAAGUAAUGUUUGUUUCGAUACUUACUUUGGAAUGCUCUUCCACAAAACCCCACAUUGUUCAAUAUGUAAGUGGCCUUAAAGUUGUAAGUCAGAAAAUUCUAUCAACCAUUGUCUUGUCCAAUUUCUGUAUGUAUCUUCUGGUUCAAGAUUGUUCUCCAAUUCAGCCCACCUUGGGUUGUAUGACAUUGCUACAAAAACAUAAUCAAUAGUAUCCAUUCUAUUGAGAAUAUGAUGGUAUGCUAAUUUGGGUUGUUCUAAUAAAUAUUAACUAUAUCAAAAAUUGAGUAUAAGCAAUUAAACCAAUCUAAAAUCUGUUUAUUGUUCUUUUAUCUCUUUGAAAUUUUGAGAAGUCCGUUACUUCCGAAAUUUGUUUGGGAUUUUUAGACUUAACCUCUUUUAUUAUGAUAAUAUUGUAAAUAAACCCCCUCGUUUUGUCCAAAAUCGGACUUUACCCUCUCCGUCUCCCUUCCGUCCCAUUUAACGUUUAAUUUCUAAUAUUCUGACAAAAAUACCCCCUACACUGUAUACUCUUUGAGAAGAAGAUGCAAAGUUUGGUUGGAUUUUCUAUGUUAAAAAUGGUAGAAGAAAUCAUGGUCUUUGGAAGGAAAACAAACAAAAACCAAUUUUAAUUAGUUUCAUCAGAUUCUAAUUUCUUCUUGUAAAAUUAAAUUUGUAGUUGUAGGAUUGUGCUGAUGGGUUGUACAAGUUCAAAGUUAGAUUGUUAUUUUCGAUCAAGAUCUUAUCGACAACUCUCCUUCUUCUUUCUUUUUCUCCAUUUCAUCAUCAUUCUGGUCAUUCUUCACUUUCACAUUAUCAACAAUAAAAUCACCCCCCACACUUUAUUAUCAACCUCCUUUAACAUUAGCAAGAUGAAGAUUGAUCUACGCCGUCGAUUGUUCAUGAAAAAAUUAAAGGCCAAUGAGUCCAGAAACUAUUUAUAUGAUUAGCCAUGGUGGUGGUGGUGCUGAUGGUGGUGAUUCAUCUUCUUAUUAUACUAAUUAUUACCCAUCUUCUUCCUCUUACUCUAAUUAUAGGUUAAAUGGUUCGGGUUCACCGCAUUGUGAUAAAUUUUUUUUGCAAAAAGCAAGCGUGGGGUUUAGGCAGACCCCAACCAGAUAUUAUUAACUUUGAAGAAAAAUCAGAUUACAUUCUUUGGUAAAGUGUGCCAUUGGCAUCGCUUUCCAGGAACUUAUCAAUUACAUCUCCCAUGGGGUAGGCAAAAAAGAUAAUGUUCUCAGUGUCAGGGUAUGUUGUAGCCAAAGCAUCAGCAACUUUAUUAGAUUCCCUAAACACAUGUUGGAUAAUAACCUCUUCAAAAGCACUCCUAAGAGUGUUGAUAUACUGAACCAUGCUAAGUGCUAACAAGUCCUCCAGGUUGGAGGUGUUAACUGUUAAGUCGUUUAGAAUUCUGGAAACUUGCAUAGAACCAAUUUGUACCAUGAUCUUCUUCAGUCCCAUAUCUUUAGCUAGCUCAAGCCCUUUCUCAACUGCUAUCAUCUCAAGAAAGAGACCCGAAUUUGAUGAUGAACCUGCAAUAUAAGCUUGUAAUACUUGCCCUUGUUCAUUCCGCAAUACACCUGCAUAUCCAGUGUCGUGUUGUCCCAUUGCUCCAUCAGUAUUGAGUGCUGUCCAUCCACUAGGGGGUGGGGUCCAGGCAUUGUGAUAAAUUUCAAGAUGAAGUGUUUAAAAAAACAUUCAUACAAAAGAAGAGGAUUGCAAAACAGAGGAGGGGGUAUUUUGAUCAAACUACUGAAAAAUAUACGUUAAGGGCCCGUUCGGCAACACCAUAGAAAUGCAUUUCUUUCCUUCUUAGAAGUAAAAAAAAAAAGGAGAAAGUCUGUUCGGCAACAAUUUUAGAAUGUAUUUCUAAGAAAACAAUUUUACAAGAAGUUUCUCGUUUUAACUUUUACUUCCGCCUUCCUCCUUUCCAACAAAAAACUUACUAAAAAAUUUCAUCCUGAUUUCACAUUGGUUGCCGAACGGCCCUAAAUGAGACAAAAGAGAGACGGAAAGAGGUAAAAUCAAAUUUUGGACAAAAAGAAGAGUUUAUGCAAAUUUUUGUUGAUCACUUUACCAUUAUUCUUUGCCCUGCUGUCCAACCCCUGGACACUCUCCAUAGAAGGACUAUCUCUGACCUCUUCCCUCCAAUCCUGGAUAAUUUAGACAAUGACUUUCUCACCACACUAGGCCUGUAAAAAUGGCCCUUUGACCCUAAACCCGGCCCAGCCCGCCCGACCCAUUCAAUGAAAAAAGCCCUUAAAGCUUGACCCUUAUGAUUUUUAGGGUAGGGCCGGCCCGACCCUCUCCUUUCAAGGGUCGGGUUAGGGUUUAGCUUUGGAAAUCGUAGACCAUACCUUAGCCCGACCCUAAUUAACCCUCUCAAAGCCCUCUUACGGCCCUCAUAAAUAUAUGUAUAAUUUUUAAUAUAUUUCUUUAUAUAUCAAAAUUUGAACAUUUUUUUUAGAAUUUUAAUCGUAAAGAUUUUUCCAAUUAGACAUAUAUGUCACUUUUUUUUAAGUUAUAUGAUAUUUAUCAAAUGUUUAUCGAAUAUUUUCCGAACUAGUUGUUAAAAAACUAUUAUAUAACUAAAAGAAAUUGAUUCUCAAUAAAAUAUUUUUUUUAACCAUAUAUUUCAUUAUUGAGCAUGCAAUAAACGAUAAUUAGAUUAUUAUUUUAAAUGUGUAUUUUAUACUUAUCAUACUAGAAUUUUAUAAAUUUAGGAUUAAAUUUCUAAAGUUUGAAAUUUUAGUAAUAAGAUAACAUCUAACUACGAGUUCUUUGUAUUUAUUAAUUGUAAUGCUCUUGGAUAAAAUAAUAUCAUAUACUAUAACAAAUUUUAUGGUGAAAAAAAUAUAUUUGUACAUUUAAGAAUUGAAACAUAUUAUACGUAUUUUCAAAAAUAUUAAUAAAAACAUGAUCGCAUAUUUUUAUUCAAGUAAAACAUAAUUCUAUGUAUCGACCCUAUCAACCGGGCCCGUUAGCCCGACCCUCAACCCUUUAAAAUAAAGGGCUAAGGGUUGGGUGAGGUUUUCACAAUUUUUGUGUUGGUCCGCCCUAACCCGACCCUCAUCAUCUUUUAGGGUAGGGUUGCCCGACCCUUAAAGUGUGAGGGCUCGAGGGUUCAAAGGCCGGGCUAGCCCUACCCGACCCAUUUUACAGGUCUACACCACACCCUCCACCAUGGAUGAGAUCAAGUUUUAUAUGGAUGGGAUAGGGGCCCUCAAGUCCCCUGGUCCUGAUGGUUUUCCAAGCCUUUUUUGUCACCACUCCUGGGAUACCACAAAGGACGAUAUCUUCAGAAUGGUUUUGGAUUUUUGGAUGAAUAACUUCUCCCUUGAGCAAAUAAACAAGACUAACAUAGCUCUCAUCCCGAAAUGCCCUAAUCCCUCUCAUCCGGCGGAUUUUAGGCCCAUUAGUCUUUGUAAUAUGAUAUACAAAGUCAUAUCUAAAUCCAUUGCUGAAAGAUUAAAAACUUUCCUCCCUAACAUCAUCUCCCCUUUACAGUGCGCCUUUGUCCCUCAGAGACAAAUCUCGGAUAAUAUCAUAAUAACUCAUGAAAUUCUCCAUACUUUGAAAAAUAAAAAAGGUGAGGGGGGUCUUAUGGCUAUUAAAAUUGACAUGUCUAAAGCCUUUGAUAGGAUAAAUUGGGAUUGUCUCAUGACAAUUUUAUCCUCUCUAGGUUUCAGCGAUAAUAUCCGAAAGCACAUUUACAACUGUAUCUCUACCAUUAACUCUUCCAUCAUCUUAAAUGGGAGCCCUCAUGGUUACUUUAAAUCUACUUGUGGUCUUAGACAAGGGGACCCCCUCUCCCCCACCUUUUUCAUCCUAUCCAUGGAGCUUCUGUCUAGGCUUCUAAAUGCUAAAUGCAAUCAAGGGAAACUUCAUGGCAUAAAGGUUGCCAAAAACAACCCUCCUAUUUCUCAUCUCCUCUUUGCAGGUGACAUUUUCAUUUUCUGCAGAGCAAAUGAGAUGGAAGCAAAGGAAUAAAUUGAGACAUUAGACACCUUCUGCCAUCUCUCUGGCCAGCAACUAAAUUAUGAAAAAUCGGGAGUCCUGUUUAGUAAAAACACCUCUAACUCCAACAAAGACAACAUCCUUAACAUCCUCCACAUGAAGACCUUCAACAAAAAUGAACUCUACUUAGGUACUCCUUUAUUUCUAGGAGAGAAAAAAACUUCCAUGUUCAGAUGCCUCAUAAAAAGAAUUGAAAAAAGACUUUCUGGAUGGAAAGGUAAAGUCCUUUCUCAAGCGGGAAAAAUUGUCCUUAUUAAAAAUGUCUCUUCGGCGAUACCUUCCAACCAAAUGACUUGCUUCAAAAUCCCUAAGGAAAUCACUAAGAAAAUAGACUCUAUCCAAAGAGACUUCUGGUGGGGAAAAGAGGAAAACAAAAAGAAAAUGUACCUAAGAAGUUGGGACUACAUUUGUAGGCCCAAAAGAUUAGGAGGCAUUGGAAUAAAAAAAAUGGACCUCCGGAAUGAUGCCCUUCUCUCUAGGAUAACUUGGAGACUUCUUACUAACCCUGACAACUUGUGUUCCAGGAUCUUUAAAUCCAAAUAUCACAAAAAUCCCCCCCCCCCCUCUUGCAAAGCUCCUGCAACUCUAAUGCCUCUUGGAUAUGGAAAUCUAUCUCUGAUUCUAUCCCAAAAGUCAAACUUGAAACUUGUUGGGAAAUAGGAAAUGGGGAAAAUGUCAACAUUUGGGAUGACAAUUGGGUGCCAACUUUACCCCAAUAUAGAAUCCCAAACAUCUCAAAUCAACCUCCUAACAUCCUCACUGUUAAUGACCUCCUUAUUCCAAACACUAGCUUCUGGAAUAGGUCUCUUCUUCACUCCAUCUUUGACAACAACACUUGCCACCACAUCACUAGCAUUCAACCUGGAGGAAACCACCAUCAGGACAAUCCCAAAUGGAUGCGCACAAAAAAAGGUAUACACAGUGUCAAAUCUAUGUACGCACACCUUGCCACACCACCUCACAUUACUACUGUUAAUGAGAACAUUAAUCUGAAACUUUGGAAAGCUUUAGCCACUCCUACAGCUGUUAUGUUCACCUGGAAAUGCCUUAAUCAAGUUGUCCCUACUAGAGCUCACAUAGGGCAAUUCAUGCAAUUACAAUCUCAAAACUGUCCCAUGUGUCAGCAUCAUCCUGAAACUUUGCAUCAUAUGCUUAUACAAUGCCCUUUCACUCAAAAAGUGUGGUUCCUUAGUAAAAUGAAUUUCAGACUUACACACUUUAUGAACCUGACUGUAAACCAAUGGAUAAAGUCCUGGUUUUUACCUCACAAGGACUGGUUGGUACCUCAAAAAGAAUGGGCUAGUUUCUGUGUUAUUGCUACAUGGCAGAUAUGGAAAAGCAGGUGUAUCAUGGUUAACCAAAACAAACUCUUGGAGCCAGAUCGAAUCGAUGGCUCAACAGAUUGACAAGGAAAUGUACAAGCAGUUUAAUACAACUGCAACUGCAGAUAUUCAACCAAGAUCUCAGGGUGUAGGGAUAUGGAUCCCACCAAGUAAAAGCUUCCUUAAGCUUAAUGUUGACAUCAAAUUCACAGGUGCUGAUGAAAGAAUAGGAAUUGGAUUCAUUUUGAGAACAUCAGAUGGUAUUUUUGCAGGUGCAGGAAGUUGAUCCAAUUCAGCAGGUUCAGCAGAUGAAUCAGAAUCAAGAGGAGUGUUGGAAGCCGUACUAUGGGCACUUACCAAACAUGUGACACACUUAGAGCUCGAAACCGACAACAAGGGGGUAGCUGAUUACCUCAACAGAUCUGAUGUCAACCUUUCUUGGCGCACAAGAAGUAUUUUGGAUAAUGUUUUUAUGCUUUUCUGUAAGUUUAUUGUAAUUAAGGUGAACUUUGUGGGUAGAAAAGGGAACCAAGUCGCUCACUUGCUCGCACAGCAUGCCACAGUAAGCUCUUUUGUUCCUACUUACUACUCAAAGCCACCAAGCUUCCUGUUACAGCAAUUACAGGAAGAUAAUCUACUAUGUAACAUUGCUGAAACUUAAUUUCUAUAUAUUCUGCUGAUUAUUAUAAAACAAAAAAAAAAAAGGAGAAAACUUGCUGUCAAGGAGCACAUUGCCAACCUUUAUGUUAUUGUAGUGAAUUAUUUGGUUAUCACAACCCUCGUGCAAAUAUGCGAACCCUUUUGUUGUCUCAAUAUAUUGCAGUAUUGUAAAACUUCGCCCACUCUAUGUUAUGAGGAUUUCUAUAGUCUAUACAACUGCUUUCAGGUCAUGUUCAAAAGCAAUAUCGAUAGAGUUUCACUAAGUUCCUGUGGGAAGCGUUGCUCAGUAUCUUCAUUUCAGACAUGAAUAUAUCUUCUAUGACAUCCUAUAGUAAGUGCCUUUUAAAAAACAAAAGUAUUCUUUCAAAGGCCCUAAAUAUUACCAUAUAUUGCAUUUAUUAGUUACUACUGUAUUCAUCCAUAUCCAUAUCUACUAAACAAUUUUCACAUUGAUGCCAAGCUCAAUUAUACAAUAUCAACUAGAGCACAAAUGAAUCAUUCAAGAAAAGAACAAAAAUCUGUGGUCAUAGCUUUUAUCAAUGGUAGUAGAGGCUUUUAAAUAAACCUAUGUAAGUCCAAAAAAACAAAUUACAUGUAGUGUUUACCUUUCAUCAGCAUUUGGAAGUUUGGAACCACCUCUAGUAUUGAUGGUAGCAUUGAAAAACUGGAGGACUGCCCAAAUUGAAAUGGAUAGGGAGGCUUCCUAACAGGUAUUUCAUUCUCAAGCACCAUUACAACC
rnacentral:lncRNA from 1 species